rnacentral:misc_RNA from 1 species
GAUGAAGAACGUAGCGAAAUGCGAUACGUAAUGUGAAUUGCCAAUUCAGUGAAUCAUCGAGUCUUUGAACGCACAUUGCGCCCCCUGGUAUUCCGGGGGGCAUGCCUGUCCGAGCGUCAUUGCUGCCCUCAAGCACGGCUUGUGUGUUGGGCCCCGUCCUCCGAUCCCGGGGGACGGGCCCGAAAGGCAGCGGCGGCACCGCGUCCGGUCCUCGAGCGUAUGGGGCUUUGUCACCCGCUCUGUAGGCCCGGCCGGCGCUUGCCGAUCAACCCAAAUUUUUAUCCAGGUUGACCUCGGAUCAGGUAGGGAUACCCGCUGAACUUAAGCAUAUCAAUAAGCGGAGGA